GACGAACUGUCCUAACGUUGUUCGGAAUCACUGGGCUUAAAGGGCGCGUAGGCGGUCCGACAAGUCAGGGGUGAAAUCCUGCAGCUUAACUGCAGAAGUGCCUUUGAUACUGUCGGUCUUGAGGGAGAUAGGGGUGUGCGGAACUCACAGUGGAGCGGUGAAAUGCGUUGAUAUUGUGAGGAACGCCGGAGGCGAAAGCGGCGCACUGGAUCUCUUCUGACGCUGAUGCGCGAAAGCCAGGGGAGCAAACGGG
rnacentral:rRNA from 1 species